rnacentral:rRNA from 1 species
UACGGGGGGAGCAAGCGUUGUUCGGAUUUACUGGGCGUAAAGGGCGCGUAGGCGGCCACUGCAAGUCGACUGUGAAAUCUCCGGGCUUAACCCGGAAAGGUCAGCCGAUACUGCGGGGCUAGAGUGCAGAAGGGGCAACUGGAAUUCUCGGUGUAGCGGUGAAAUGCGUAGAUAUCGAGAGGAACACCUGCGGCGAAGGCGGGUUGCUGGGCUGACACUGACGCUGAUGCGCGAAAGCGUGGGGAGCAAACAGG